AAGUUGUCGUGCUGUGACGUCAAGCCCUGAUCAGACUAUGCACAGCGCACCGCGAUGCGCGUGCUUCUGUGAGCACAUGGAGGAGAGAGGACGUCCACUUAGCAGACUGGCUAAUGUAGCCUGUGGGUCGCAAAAUAUUUGGAAAUGAUCAACAAUUCAGAUAUGGAAAGCGGACUGGGUUGCUAAAGGCGUCCAACGUGAAGAAAGAAAGUCAUAGAUGUUUGAAAGGACAAGAGGAUGAUGUACAGUACAGGAUGAUAUUGAGGAUGUGAGCAGUCCUUUCACCUUUAAGAGUUAUCUUCAAAAUGGAGCUUCAGCUUUCAAGUUUCAGUCUGAGAAUCUAGUUGGCGUAUCAGCCACUCACCCUGCCACUGAAGAAUAUGGUGAAGAGGCGGUCCUUUGCGAUAAAAGCACUUUGCCAGACAGCAUGACCUUCAGAAGACUGGACUGAACUUGAACUGUGUUUAGGCAGCAUGAAGUAGGGAACACAAGUGAAGAGGUUGUGUAUCAGUUAUCCUGACCCUCUGCUGGAGGAUUCAAAUUGGACGAAUUCCUUUGUAAAGUGGUCUCUCACCUCUAUUAUGGGACAUGUUUUACUUCAUUGCUUCUGGGUGGUCCUUUCACAGAGUGCGAGAGGUCCCGCCACACUCAACUGCCAGCAGUCAAAUUCCAUCCUCUCUCACUGCACACCUUCCUGUGGAGAUUGGCUCUCUUCGAUUCCUCCAAGAUGAAUGUCUCUUUGAACCUCUUGUGGCAUUUGAGUGAACUACAGUUCCAGCUCUGGGAACUACAGAGGAGUUUGCUGCCUCACACACAAGAUCUGUUCAGAUUUUCAUGUGUACACAACAUUCCUUUGACGUGACCAACAAGAGUAUAUAAAUGUCUCUUGAGAGAAAUCCGUUUACUGGUUCUCAAUUACGUUCUGUCUUUCUGUUCGGACCCACUUUAUUUUAAGUGGCCUUAACUACUAUGUACUUACAUUUUAAUUAAUCAUUUAGUACAAUGUACUUAUUGUGUACAUACAUGUUUUUACAUUGUACUUAUAUUAAAAAA